rnacentral:rRNA from 1 species
GACGAACGCUGGCGGCGCGCUUAACACAUGCAAGUCGAGCGAGAACCGGGACUUCGGUCCCGGGGACAGCGGCGAACGGGUGAGUAACACGUGGGUAAUCUGCCCUCGAUUCUGGGAUAGCCCGGGGAAACCCGGAUUAAUACCGGAUAGCCUUUCGAGCCUUCGGGCGCGAAAGAAAGUAGCUUCGGCCUCCGAUCGAGGAUGAGCCCGCGGUGGAUUAGCUUGUUGGCGGGGUAAUGGCCCACCAAGGCGACGAUCCAUAGCUGGUCUGAGAGGACGAUCAGCCACACUGGGACUGAGACACGGCCCAGACUCCUCGGGAGGCAGCAGUGGGGAAUCUUGCGC